rnacentral:lncRNA from 1 species
AGCUCAUCAUACGAUCGUUCGUGACUGUCGAAAUCGAAUUUUAUUGAUCGACAUAGCUAGAGCUAUCGGAUCGAGGUGGUCUUUUAUAACGAUACUUUAACAAUAAUUAUUUAGAUAAUGAAUGGUGAAAAUAAGCUUUAAAUUUUAAAAUUAUAUCAUCUUCAGAGAAAAAUAAAAAAAGACAUUAUAUUCGAUCGUAAAUAAAUUUUU